rnacentral:rRNA from 1 species
CGAUGAAGACUCAAAGGAAUUGACGGGGGCCCGCACAAGCGGAGGAACAUGUGGUUUAAUUCGAUGAUACGCGAGGAACCUUACCUGGGCUUGAACUAUAGGUGAUGUAUGCAGAGAUGCAUACUUCCGCAAGGACACCUAUGGAGGUGCUGCAUGGCUGUCGUCAGCUCGUGCCGUGAGGUGUCGGGUUAAGUCCCAUAACGAGCGCAACCCCUAUCACUAGUUGCCAUCGCAUUUUGGCGGGGACUUUAGUGAGACUGCCACCGUAAGGUGAGAGGAAGGUGGGGAUGACGUCAAGUCAGCACGGCCCUUAUGUCCAGGGCUACACACGUGUUACAAUGGUCGGUACAGCGAGUAGCGAGGCAGAGAUGCUGAGCGGAUCUUGAAAAUCGGUCGUAGUUCGGAUCGGAAUCUGCAACUCGAUUUCGUGAAGGUGGAUUCGCUAGUAAUCGCGCAUCAGCCACGGCGCGGUGAAUACGUUCCCGGGCCUUGUACACACCUCCC